GUGGCUGUAGCUCAGUUGGUAGAGCACCGGGUUGUGAUCCUGGCGGUCGUGGGUUCAAGCCCCAUCAGUCACCCCA
rnacentral:tRNA from 1 species